UGCAGAAAUGUCAGUUCAUUUGAUAUCUUUAUUUGUUACAUAUGGGCUUGAAGAAAGCAUGUUAUGUACAUUUUUGCUUUACAGAUACUCUUUUACAGGGUAUAUUCAACUGUCAGGGAAGUUUGAGGUCCAUCAAGGAGACAAGAUCUUUACUAAGAAGAUUUUGGAGCUUGGAGAAACGAAUAUAUGAUGAUUUCUCUGAUCACCUACCCUGGAACAAUAUGUAUUUAAAAAUAUCAUUCAGCAUUCAUUCAGAGAGGAUGUUUGGGACCUUAAGAUAGAAGCUGCCACAUAUAACUGUAUAGAGCCACAGACUCGAUGAUGAUAAAAGGACAUAGCCAUGCUAAGAAAUAUGCCUGAAAGGCAAACAAUCUCCCUCUAGUGUCCAAGAAGGAAAAUGUGCAGGCCCUUAUUGAGUGGAAUUUGUUGGAAACAAUGCUCAAGUGAAAUCCGAAGGUGGAGUUCAGUUUCUGCCUUUCCACUGAUGUGCUGAGCGACUGCAAACCAUUUAUUGAUCAGAAUCUUCAAUAAGUGAAGAGGUUUUAUUGCAUCAUUGUAAGCAACUUAGUAGCUGAUAAAAUUUAUUAGAGAUCAGUGUGCUUGCCAAAUGGCAAUUGUAAUUCUAUGUAUGAUCAUUUUUUCUAUAAACAUUUGUCAGCAUCAAACCCUGUGGAUGGAGCUAAGGUAUUUGGGGAAAAAAAUUACAAAAACAGAAAAUCAGAGUCUUUACUCUUGAUAACGACAAUAUAUUUUAGAUUUUCUGUCCUGAGUAUUUAUUCCCAGCCAUGCCUCUGCCACUAAGUGAAACAAUUUAUGGCUUCUUUCUUCCAGGGAAUGUGAAUGCUUAGAGAAUAGCAAUUCAUUUAGUGUCAGCUUAAGUAAACACAAGAAAGCAGUCUAUGAAAGGAAAUAAAAUAUUACAUUCUGAAAAUGGGUCUUGUGCU
rnacentral:lncRNA from 1 species